UGGCUCAGUUGGUAGAGCGUGGUGUUUGCAACACCAGGGUUGUGGGUUCGAUUCCCAC
rfam:Salmo salar isolate Sally breed double haploid chromosome ssa10, whole genome shotgun sequence.